rnacentral:rRNA from 1 species
GUGCUGGGCGCAGCUACCAUGCAGUCGAGCGGUAACAGAUCCAGCUUGCUGGAUGCUGACGAGCGGCGGACGGGUGAGUAAUGCAUAGGAAUCUGCCCGAUAGUGGGGGAUAACCUGGGGAAACCCAGGCUAAUACCGCAUACGUCCUACGGGAGAAAGGGGGCUUCGGCUCCCGCUAUCGGAUGAGCCUAUGUCGGAUUAGCUAGUUGGUGAGGUAACGGCUCACCAAGGCCACGAUCCGUAGCUGGUCUGAGAGGAUGAUCAGCCACAUCGGGACUGAGACACGGCCCGAACUCCUACGGGAGGCAGCAGUGGGGAAUAUUGGACAAUGGGGGGAACCCUGAUCCAGCCAUGCCGCGUGUGUGAAGAAGGCCCUCGGGUUGUAAAGCACUUUCAGCGAGGAAGAACGCCUAGCGGUUAAUACCCGCUAGGAAAGACAUCACUCGCAGAAGAAGCACCGGCUAACUCCGUGCCAGCAGCCGCGGUAAUACGGAGGGUGCAAGCGUUAAUCGGAAUUACUGGGC